UUAACUUCCAUUUCUGCAGGUGAGGAAGAUGAGGCUCCUAGAAGCUAAGUAACUUGCCUGUGUUCACCCAUAAUUAUGUCUCAGAACCAGGACUUAAAGCCAGAUCUGCCAGACUCCAAGAUCAAGCUCUUACUCCUCCAGGAAGCUCCGGGUUCAUUUCCCAGCACCCCACCACCUUCAGAGUGAGGAUCUGCUAACACAGAUACUCCUCAUUGGCAGUGGGAAGUCUCCUCUUGCCUGAUCCCUUGGCAGGGAGGAAGAGGAAGGAAGCCACCCUCUGCAAAAGCUGCCGACCUAUGUACCCAGAGGUACAGGGAAGAGGGUGUAAGAAGGAACCCCAGUAGGCAGCUCACCCCUGGGACCAGAUGCAGGGCCUCUGACAACGGAUGCAGGAACACUGUAAAAGGAAACCCACAGCCACCAUGGGGCCCCAGACUCUGCAUCCCACUCUAUCAAUCUGUCAGACUGUCACGCUCUCUUCCCGCGUCCCUUCCUACUGCAAGCAAUCCUUGACCAGACCCACAGUUCCCCCUGGGCUGAAGGCAAGGCAAGAGGCAGCACCAGCGGCCCAGAACCUGUGAUGCUUUCAGGAAUAUCUAUAGCAAGAAGCAAGCAGUGUGUGUCACGAAAUAAAAGCUGCCCUGAACCCA